rnacentral:sRNA from 1 species
CAGGGUGCCAAGUUGGAGAGCACCAGCUUUAUCUACCCACCGAGUGGGAGUGGGCAUAGGCCAGGGAGUGGUAGGGCAGGCUUCCCUCCCAUGCCGCCCUGCCCGUGUGCCUCAGCCUUGCCCUGGAGGGACUCUGUCCCCAGGAGGUGAGGAGUUUACUCUCCAAGGCCUCUCUGGUCUGAGCUUUC